rnacentral:lncRNA from 1 species
CCAUAACAUAAAAACCUAAUAUUCCCCAAAAUCGUAACCCUAAAGAGACUCUCACCAAAGGGCGACCCCCUUGCUCUCUUCACUCUGCCCGCGACCCUGCCGCUUCAAACUCGCCGGAACUCGCCCAAACCCGGCAAGUUCACUUACAUUGUCCCGUCAUGGUCCCCCCUCCUCUCCUUCGCUUCUUCCACGUCACCAAACCCUAACAUACUUUGGCAACAAAAUGAUUUCAUCCAGAUUUCCACGCGGUAUUCAUUCCUCUUGGAGCAAAUCCGGAUCUAUUAGGUAAAAGAUUAUUAAAAUGGGGACCGUUAGAUAAGGUAAUUAUGAUCCAAAGCCCUCCAUUUUUCUGAUUUUUUAUUUGGAAAUGGAUUUCAGAUUUCGUGGGGAGGAAGCAUAGAAGGUUCUAUCUCUAUAUAUAUAGGAGGAUUUUCAGACAGAGUAAUUGAGAGAAAAAGGAGGUUAAAAAAUUAGGGUUAUAAUAGGGAGUUUCUUCUUUUCUUCUCAAUUUGGAUCCAUUUUUAGUUGAUUACAAAUUCCAUAAAGACAAAAAUACAAAGAAAAAAAAAACAGUUAUAGUUCUGUUACUCCUUUCCACUUCGAUUUUCGAUUUCAAUACGGAGUUUGUCUGAGGUUGCCGUGGACUCGAGUUGUUCGAGAUUUUUAGUGCUUGUAAAUCGAGGUUCAUUGUGGUCCCAUUUGUGCCGAGCAAAUUCAGUCCAGGCUUGUUCGAAUUUGGUUGCUUUUUGCUUCAAUUCUCGUUGUCGAACUUCAGCUGUAUUUGGCAUUCAAGCAAAUUAAUUAAAGUUCUUGACGUUUCAGGUCCCUUUCCUCCCUCUUCUAUUUUUAUGUGAAAAUUGGUUUUCUUGAGUUAAUUCAGAAUCAGUCAGAGUGAUCUUCUCUUCGUGUGUUCAGUUUGCUUUAAAUGUUUGAAGGUUAAAAUUUGCAUAUGUCUAAGAGAUCGAUUGGAGUUAUGUUCUUAUACGUGCUUAUUCAAGUUGCUUAAUAUGUGUUAAUUUGAGUCGUGGUUAAUUUAGUUUGGACUAUGUCUCACUGUAGUAUACCAUGUGUAUUCAGUGUGUCGACCAGAAGUUAGUAUAUUACUGUUUUUACUUAUGAUUAAGUAUGUCGAAGGCCUUCAGCCAUUAGAGUAGCGUGUUCUUUGACCUCGUCUCUUUUUAAGGUUUCAAGUUCUAAGUUAGGAUUUUCAUACUCAUUGAAACAUGUUUACAAAUAUUACCAUGCCUUCCAGUGAUCCAUAUCUGAAACAGAAUCACACCUUCUCACAUGUGUUGAACUAGGAGCCAUUCGUUGACAAGAGUGUUGUUCAAUGGUGCUUUGUAUUUAACAGACAUAGAAGGCAAAUGUGCAGAUAUGGCCAUCAAUUAUGAUGCAGUUAAGAGGUACUAUGUAUGAUUUUCUUGCUUACCUUCAGUUUUAUUUUGUACUUGGCAUAUUCAAAGUUGAAAUGACGAAGGAAUUUUGUUCAGCUACCUAAACACUUUCAUCCUUUGCUACCCUUUCUGAGCCUUAUUUAUUUUCUUUCAUACCCCACUUUUGGAAUCAACAACAGAAGUAAAGAAUAAAGAUGAUGAUGAAUGAGUGAAAAUAAGAAAAAUGAAAAAACAAGAAAAACAAAAAGAAAAGAAAAAAAACAACAAAAAAGAAAAAAAAACUAUAAGAAAAAAAAGAAAACAAAGAAAAGAAAAGAAAAAAAACAACAAAUAAGAAAAAAAACAACAAAAAAGAAAAAAAAAUUAUAAGAAAAAAAAAAGAAAACAAGCAACUUUGUCGUUUGAACUACGUUCGACCUGAUUCCUUUUAAGGAUACGUAGGCAGCCUUAAAGUUCGGUCCCAUCACAAUAAAAAUUAAAAUUCCCCAGACCCAAAGAAACUGGGGCAGAAGUUUUGGUUUUGAAGAGAUCUAAUUCCAAAAGUUGUAAUUUUAACCCCUUUUCAUCUUAUAUUAUUUUGAGCUUUCAUGCUACCCUUUCUUUCUAACCCCGUCCAAAAGCCUAAAUUAUGGUCCAAAGAAAGACCUUCCGAUCAAUCUUUGAAGAUGCCGGGUCAAGCAAGAUAGAUGUAUGAUUUGCAUCAUAGGUAAUACUUUGUUCAUGGGCGCUAGAGAGAAAAUUUAAAAUAAGAGAAUUUUAUUGGUGAAAACCCUCGUAGAAGAGAGUCUUAUUGGUGAAAACCCUCUCAGGCACCAUAAGGUGAUGGUGAGAUGAGAGAUGAACAAAUGAUAGAGGCUUGUCAGUGAAAACCCUUUUAGGGCACUACAAGUCGAAUGAGGCUCAUAACUUUACAGAGAAAUUGGAUCAAUGAAAGUCCGGUUUUGAAGUAUGAAGACAUGGCAUGAACUGAAAAUAUGAUUGGUUGGACGAAUUAGGUUGAUCAGUCUGAAAUGCAUGGCAUGAUCAUUGGGGCUGGCCACUUUCCUCAGAUAAGUCCUCUCUUUCUCAUUCUUCUCCACAUAAUCAUUUGUGUUCAAAAUUUUCAUUUGUUCCUUUUGUUAAAAAAUCAUUUCAUUUUACUCCUUAGGUCUAUAUUUAUGAGUUUCUUCCUAGUUAGUGCUUAUUAAACAAGCAGGAACGGAUUUCAAAGCCUACUACCAGCUUCUAAAUUGCACAAAGCGGAUUCAUGCCAGGCACAUCAAAAUUGGCAUGAUUCAGAAUGAGCAAUAUGGUGAUAAUUGAGGUUCAGGCAAUCAAGUGAAUCUUGAAUUUUGAGGAAAUACAAGGAUUCAACAACUUUCUAAAUAAAAAUUCAAUGCAACAAGUGA